rnacentral:rRNA from 1 species
UACGUAGGGGGCAAGCGUUGUCCGGAUUCAUUGGGCGUAAAGAGCGUGUAGGCGGCCAGGUAGGUCGGUUGUGAAAACUGGAGGCUCAACCUUCAGAGGUCGACCGAAACCAUCUGGCUAGAGUCCGGGAGAGGAGAGUGGAAUUCCUGGUGUAGCGGUGAAAUGCGCAGAUAUCAGGAAGAACACCGAUGGCGAAAGCAGCUCUCUGGGACGGUACUGACGCUGAGGCGCGAAAGCGUGGGGAGCGAACAGG